rnacentral:rRNA from 1 species
UACGUAGGGUGCAAGCGUUGUCCGGAUUUAUUGGGUUUAAAGGGUGCGUAGGCGGCCCAUUAAGUCAGCGGUGAAAGCCCGGGGCUCAACCCCGGAACCGCCGUUGAUACUGGUGGGCUUGAGUACAGACGAGGCAGGCGGAAUUGAGGGUGUAGCGGUGAAAUGCUUAGAUACCCUCAAGAACACCGAUUGCGUAGGCAGCUUGCUAGGCUGUGACUGACGCUGAGGCACGAAAGCGUGGGGAGCGAACAGG